rnacentral:rRNA from 1 species
CCCUUAGAUGUCCUGGGCCGCACGCGCGCUACACUGACAUGUUCAACAAGCCUCCUAGUUCGACAGGAUUUGGGAAAUCUUUGAACGCAUGUCGUGAUAGGGAUAGAUCAUUGCAAUUAUUGAUCUUGAACGAGGAAUUCCUAGUAAACGCGAGUCAUCAGCUCGCAUUGAUUGCGUCCCUGCCCUUUGUACACACCGCCCGUCGCACCUACCGAUUGAAUGUUUCGGUGAAGAUUCCGGAUAGGACUUUUUUGAGUUAUUUCAAUUCUGUCUUAAAAGCUAUCUAAACCUCAACAUUUAGAGGAAGGUGAAGUCGUAACA